rnacentral:rRNA from 1 species
AAACCUGCCUCAUAGACUGGGACAACUAUUGGAAACGAUAGCUAAUACCGGAUAACAGCAUUAACUGCAUGGUUGAUGUUUGAAAGUUGGUUUUGCUAACACUAUGAGAUGGCUUUGCGGUGCAUUAGCUAGUUGGUGGGGUAAAGGCCUACCAAGGCGACGAUGCGUAGCCGACCUGAGAGGGUGAUCGGCCACACUGGGACUGAGACACGGCCCAG